rnacentral:rRNA from 1 species
GAUGAACGCUGGCGGCGUGCCUAAUACAUGCAAGUCGAACGAAACUUCUUUAUCACCGAGUGCUUGCACUCACCGAUAAAGGGUUGAGUGGCGAACGGGUGAGUAACACGUGGGCAACCUGCCCAAAAGAGGGGGAUAACACUUGGAAACAGGUGCUAAUACCGCAUAACCAUAGUUACCGCAUGGUAACUAUGUAAAAGGUGGCUAUACUACCGCUUUUGGAUGGGCCCGCGGCGCAUUAGCUAGUUGGUAGGGUAAAGGCUUACCAAGGCAAUGAUGCGUAGCCGAAUUGAGAGGUUGAUCGGCCACAUUGGGACUGGGACACGGCCCAAACUCCUACGGGAGGCAGCAGUAGGGAAUCUUCCACAAUGGGCGAAAGCCUGAUGGAGCAACGCCGCGUGGGUGAAGAAGGUCUUCGGAUCGUAAAACCCUGUUGUUAGAGAAGAAAGUGCGUGAGAGUAACUGUUCACGUUUCGACGGUAUCUAAACAGAAAGCCACGGCUAACUACGUG